GAAAACUUACCAGGUCAAGACAUGGACGUGAUUGACAGGCUAAUGACUUUUCUCGAUUCCAUGGAUGGUGGUGCAUGGUCGCACUUAGUUGGUGCAGUGAUUUGUCAGGUUUAUUCCGGUAACGAACGAGACCUCGGCCUUGUAAAUAGCUAUGCUGCUUACAGGGACAUUGGCGGCUACGCCAAGGAAGCUCGAGGCAAUUGCAGAUCUGGAAUGCCCUUAGAUGUCCUGGGUCGCACGCGUGCUACAAUGACGCCACGAACGAGCUUGCGUGAUGAAAGUUACGCAUAAUCAGCAGUCGGCGUCUUAAGGGAUAGUCUCUUGUAACUGUGGGACUCCAACUAGGAAUGUCUCGUAAGCACAAGUCAACAUCUUGUGUUGAUUACGUCCCUGCUCUUUGUACACACCGCCCGUCGCUCCUACCGAUCGAGUGUUUAGGUGAAUUUGAUGGACGUAAGGAAGUCAAAUAAACCUGAGCACUAGAGAAGAGAAGUCGACUC
rnacentral:rRNA from 1 species